GUUUUCUUUAGUUUUUUUUUCUUCCGGAACAGUUGGCUGCUUUUGAUCAUUUCUUUUCAAUAGGAGGUUGUAAAACCAUUUCCUUUGUGUAUCAGGAGUCUGAAGUGCCAGGAAUAGUUUAGAGUGGAUGUUGCUGUCAACGCAGAGAACAUACAUGAGACAUCCAGAUGAGAAAUGAGGCCAUUGUUCAUCUUCGUACAGUCACAGACAUUGACUUCUCUAAAUUGACCUGCCUUGACGAUAUGAAAGCUGCAGCGGUCAACUUUGACAUGGUGCAACAACUGGAAGAAAUUCUAAAGAAAUGGUGCAAGCAAAUUGAGGCCAUUUUGACAGACUACAAGGCGACCUGUGAGAACAUACCAGCAGUUUUCGCCAGCUUGAUGGCCCCAAAAAUAAAAAAUGU
ensembl:lncRNA